GUGGGGAAUAUUGGGCAAUGGGCGAAAGCCUGACCCAGCAACGCCGCGUGAGGGAAGAAGGCUUUCGGGUUGUAAACCUCUGUCGCAGGGGACGAAAGAAAUGACGGUACCCUGUGAGGAAGCCCCGGCUAACUACGUGCCAGCAGCCGCGGUAAUACGUAGGGGGCGAGCGUUGUCCGGAAUUACUGGGCGUAAAGGGUGCGUAGGCGGCGAAUUAAGUUGGAUGUGAAAUCCCCGGGCUUAACCUGGGUGGUGCAUCCAAAACUGAUUAGCUAGAGUGCAGGAGAGGGAAGCGGAAUUCCUAGUGUAGCGGUGAAAUGCGUAGAUAUUAGGAGGAACACCAGUGGCGAAGGCGGCUUUCUGGACUGUAACUGACGCUGAGGCACGAAAGCGUGGGGAGCAAACAGGAUUAGAAACCCCGGUAGUCC
rnacentral:rRNA from 1 species